AGCAGGCUGCAAACUCCACUGAGCACUAGGCUGGGGUCGCUGGCUGCCUGCUUCCGACCCCAGGAAGAGGAAAUUAAACGGCAAAGCACUUUAACGCAGAGUUAUUGCCUGACGACAGCUCAUGCCCAUCCAGAACAUCGAGCUCAGCAAAACUCAAUCAUGUGAAAACCAGGAAAUACAGAGUUAAGAUGUUUGCUGCUGAACCCGACGUUCUAGAAGGACCCGAACUAUCAGUGGGCAACUUCACCCCUGCAUUAAAGAAGUGUUU